rnacentral:RNase_P_RNA from 1 species
GUUCGCUGAGCAGUCGCGGGUACAAUAUGAAAAUAUGUAUGUGAGGAAAGUCCGGGCUCCAGGGGCAAGAAUAACGGAUAACAUCCGCCAGGGGUGACCCUCGGACAAGUGCAACAGAAAUAUACCGCCGGAUUUUUCCGGUAAGGGUGGAAAGGCGAGGUAAGAGCUCACCCGUCACAUGGAGACAUGCUGACGCUGUAAACUCUAUUCGGAGCAACACCGUGGAAGGACACUAAGGCACGCCCCGCCGUCCUGAGGAGGUGGCUUGAGCACGGGAGCAAUCCCCUGCCACAGAUAGAUGACUGCUUUUAACAGAACCCGGCUUACAGGCGGACUA